rnacentral:lncRNA from 1 species
GGUCUAUAUGGACAGAUGCCUUCAUACAUCAGCCACAAUUCAAUUUGUUAUACAGACCUCAAGAGAUUAUAAAUGUUGUCUUUUGAAUACUUGAAUUUCUUUUAGCUUUGCUUGUCAUCACAUUUGGAGGGGUUCACAUGCUCAAUUUUUAGUUGUAUUUGUUGUGUUUCGUGUACUGUCAGUCUGUUGGUAUUUUUCUUUUUUAACAAUGACGUUGUCAGAUCAUUUUGGUCUUAUGAAUUUGAAUGUCCCUUUUGGUCGAGACCACAAUUAUUUGCGUAGUGCAUUUCUUUUAGAACAUAAAUGAAAAUUAAAAAAAUCCACCUGCGCUUUCUCAAUGAAAUUUUUACAGAGUGU